rnacentral:lncRNA from 1 species
GUGCUGGGUGUGCCAGCUCAUCAGGCACCCAAUCUUGCAAGACUAUCAUUAAAAGUCUCACUUUUGCUGUUCUCCGGUCUCUGAGGUCUCUGAGUCCAUUCUUCGGGUGUGGAUGGAUGGACAAUUUCAGACAUUGUUUGGACUAAGCUUGCUUUGGGUCUAUGGAGCCAGUUCCACAUGUGUCUGGAUGAAGUCAUCUUUCUCACGGGGCAGGGCAAACAGGCUCCACACUGUCCACUCCCAUCCACCAGGUGAGUAGCCCCUAGGGUGAGAACGCCCCUCCCCACCUUAGGAGUAAGGACGGGAUCCAGCCAGCUGCAGCAAACCCACCCACAAAUGGGAGACUACACAAACACUCCACUUCCUGCCUGAGAGGGUCUACAACCAAACGGCACGCAUGACUGUGGUGAAGCUGCGGUGUGCACCUGUGUCACCAACCAGGGGCUCCUCGGACGGGGGGAGGGGGGGCUCAAAGACCAGAGGAGGAGGAGGUGGGGGUGCUCAAAGAUCAGAACAGGAAGUGGCUGAAGACAGGGACUAGAGCCGGAUACAGAGCAGGUCAUCUGUGAGGUUCAGCUUUCCCUUAGAGAGGAUUACUAACCACUAAAGUUGGGCCAAGCAUCUAUUGCCACCAUGUCCCGUUAGGCAAUGCCAGAUGGCACUGCAUCAGGGGCCACACGUGUGUGUUCUGGGCCCACAUGGGUGACCCACCCGUCCCCCAUCACGGCUUGCUGGGGCUAUGGGAUCUCAGCAGCUCCAGGGACUGAAGUACUUACUCCACGAGGCCACACAGGGUACAGGCCACGGAGCCGCAGCCCCAGCAGGUGCGCACACACUGCCCGCACAGGGCUCGCUCACACUGACCGCAGACCGCCUUCCCAUCCACGGCUCGCACGCAUGAGGAACAGGCAAUGGACGCUACCCCAGAUGGGUCUGUGAGGAAGAAACGCCAAGCCGUCAGGCUGCAAGGAGACUGGAGUUUCCGGGACUGCCGGGCUACCUGCCUCCAUGCAUACCUGAGGGCAGAGGGCUCUGACCUGCCUACCCCAUCCCCACCUACACUGGAUCCUUCUGACAACCCGUGAGCCUGGUACAGUGCACAGGACCCCCGUUUUACUACAGAGAUCCAAGAGACCACUCUGACCCCAUCUACACUGGGGCUGUGUUAUUGAUGAAAAGUGGAGAGAGCCCCUUACUAUAACCACUCAGACCCUCCAAACAUCUGCUACUGAGAAGAAGGGGGUGGAGACCCGAAUGAUUGACCUGCCUGUCUGCACUAACCCACCGCUCAGACGCCAGAGCCUCUUGUCUCUGGUUCACGUGGAAGUGAGUGAGUUGGUGCUGGGGGAGAAGUAUUUCCCCUCUGCGUUGGUGUCUUUUUACCCUGUGAAACGCCUGCCUUCCAUCCCGAGAGGAAAGAAAACGAUGACAACUUGUGUUCUGGUGGAAGAUUUAGCAGCUACUACAAAACAGAGGUUUGAAAACCUAUUUUGCAGCUCUCAAAUUUCAAUUUAGAUGACUUGACUUUGAGGGCCCAGUGUAGAUGUGAGGGCUGAGUAGAGAAAGCCCGCAGCCCCCUCUCCCCAGGAGCUUACCCCUGCCUCGGGGCUCCCUUUUUGUCUCUCUUGCUGUGUUAUGAAAGGAGAGCAUCUGGGAAUACUCAAAGGCUGGCUUCUGCCUGUGUGUCCCACCCCAUCUCAAGGUGGCUAGUGCUGCUGAGGGACUCCGGCCUGAGGAAGGAAGCGCCCGUGGCCUGGGGCAGAGCCGUGCAGUUGCAUGGCUUUCCUGCCGCUCAAGUCACUGAGGGCUGUUCUUGGUACUGUCUAGAAAAGUUGCUUGCAUCCCUGGAGUCACAGGAAUCUCAUAACCCAGCCUAUGCCCCCAGGCCCCUGCCGUGUCAGUAGAGCCUGCUGAACUUCCUGGGCUAGCGAGACCAGCUGACAGCCACAGUGCUCAAAAGUCAGGGUCUAACCCCGCCAGACUGGCGUCUCUGUAGGAUUCCCUGUCUUUGAAAGGAUACUGGAAGGGCAGUUGUUUUUCUAAACUUACUCCGAACUCUGAGCCACUGCACCUGGCCUUAAUAUCAUUUUAAAAACUAAACACGCUGGCGCGGUGCCUCCCACCUGUAAUCCCAGCACUUCGGGAGGCCAAGGUGGGUGAAUCAUGAGGUCAGGCGUUUGAGACCAGCCUGGGCAGCAUGGUGAAACCCCAUCCCUAUUAAAAAUACAAAAAUUAGCUGGGCGUCGUGGCGGGCCCCUGUAAUACCAGCUACUCAGGAGGCCGAGGCAGGAGAAUCGCUUGAACCUGGGAGGCAGAGGUUAUGGUGAGCAGAGAUCGCGCCACUGCACUCCAGCCUGGGUGAUAGAGCAAGACUCUGUCUCAAAACAAACCAUAUUUAAUUGACUUGGUCUCUUAUAUGGGCUUGUUCUAUUUAAUUUUCUGAGUAAACACAAGGCUUGGCUUUGUUACCCAAAAAACAUGGGCAGCUCUUAG